rnacentral:rRNA from 1 species
GAAGGUGGCAAGCGUUGUUCGGAUUUACUGGGCGUACAGGGAGCGUAGGCGGUUCGGUAAGCCCUUUGUGAAAUCUCCAGGCUUAACCUGGAACAGUCGGAGGGGACUGCUGAGCUAGAGGACGGGAGAGGAGCGCGGAAUUCCCGGUGUAGCGGUGAAAUGCGUAGAGAUCGGGAGGAAGGCCGGUGGCGAAGGCGGCGCUCUGGAACGUUUCUGACGCUGAGGCUCGAAAGCGUGGGGAGCAAACAGGAUUAGAUACCCUGGUAGUCCACGCCUUAAACUAUGAAUACUAAGUGUCGGCGGGUUACCGCCGGUGCCGCAGCUAACGCAUUAAGUAUUCCGCCUGGGAAGUACGGCCGCAAGGUUG